CCCUUGCUUUCAGAAAGGAGAGCUUGUCCAUCCCACCCCCUCCUCCCUCCUUCCAAAUCCUCUGAUGGGGCAGAAAAGCCACAUAGGGUUGUUGUAUAGGAGGAGGGGGCCAGCCCUGCUCCCAGAGAAUGUGCCUUUUCUGAAAGUCAGUCCUGGGGGAUCAAAUGUCAUUGAGGAUAUUGACUGACCUUCCACACCAACCCCCCAAAUCAGCUAACAACCCGCAGUGGGCAGGCCCUAACCAAGGGAAAGGCAAGACUGCUGCAGGAAUCUGCUGCAGGAGGCCUCCUCUCAGUCACAAGGCUGCUGAAUAGGUAGGUGAAGGGAAUCCUGGCCAGGGCAUUUACACGCACUGCUGCAAAGCCCCGCCUCCUCCCCGCCCCCGCGCCCAGCAUCCCGGGGAAGGAGGCUGCAGGAGCCUGACACGGAGAGCCUGCAGUCGCCGGGAGCCGCUCCAGGACAGAGCCCAUGCGAGGGAAAAGGUUUGAACAAGGAGAGGAAGAGUCAAGGGCAGCCAGAGUCCUUGGUUUGAGUCGGGAGAGUUUGAGCCAAUAGUUGGUUGCUGGGUGGAGGACGGUGGAGGGGUGUGCAGUUAGCUGGUUAUGUUCCUCUCUCCUUGAUGAGCUCCAAUCAGCCAGAAGUCCGGAGUGAGGACUCACCACUGCAAGGGCCUCCAGCCCUCAAAGCAGCCUCACGGGAAGGGCUCAGGACAACAAAGUACAGGGAAGAAUCUAGAAGCUGAUUUCUGUUUCCCAGGGUGUCAGAAAUCGGCACUCCUGGGAGCUGGUUAUCUGAUGAAGAAUUUCUCUAGCUAGACCUGCUGCCUCUGCACCUUGGAAAGUCAGGGAAGAGAGAGAUGAAAUUACAAAGCACUUAAUUCCACUUCCUAUGAACAGCUGUGCUGAUGAAUUUGGCUGGAUAGGAAAUGAAUAAAAUUGAGAAGAGAACCGAAGUCUGCAGGGAUCCUGCCUUUCUUUGCAAGUACAGGUGGUUCCAACCCCACUCCGUGGUGGCUGUUCAAUGUCACUGAGGCUCCCUCGGUCCUGCACUACAGAACGUUUAUUUCCUGCCAACCUCUUUAACGUGCCACUUGUUUGAGCUUCCCAACA